GAUGAACGCUGGCGGCGUGCCUAAUACAUGCAAGUCGAGCGAACAGACGAGGAGCUUGCUCCUCUGACGUUAGCGGCGGACGGGUGAGUAACACGUGGAUAACCUACCUAUAAGACUGGGAUAACUUCGGGAAACCGGAGCUAAUACCGUAUAAUAUAUUGAACCGCAUGGUUCAAUAGUGAAAGACGGUUUUGCUGUCACUUAUAGAUGGAUCCGCGCCGCAUUAGCUAGUUGGUAAGGUAACGGCUUACCAAGGCAACGAUGCGUAGCCGACCUGAGAGGGUGAUCGGCCACACUGGAACUGAGACACGGUCCAGACUCCUACGGGAGGCAGCAGUAGGGAAUCUGCCGCAAUAGGCGAAAGCCUGACGGAGCAACGCCGCGUGAGUGAUGAAGGUCUUCGGAGCGUAAAACUCUGUUAUUAGGGAAGAACAAAUGUGGAAGUAACUAUGCACGUCUUGACGGUACCUAAUCAGAAAGCCACGGCUAACUACGUG
rnacentral:rRNA from 1 species